GAAAUGCGAUACUUGGUGUGAAUUGCAGAAUCCCGCGAACCAUCGAGUCUUUGAACGCAAGUUGCGCCCAAAGCCAUUAAGUUGAGGGCACGCCUGCCUGGGCGUCUCACGUUGCGUCGCCCGCGCCCCCUCCCCCCUCCCGAAAAUGAAGGGGGGAGGAAGGGCUGCGGGCGGAUGUUGGCCCCCCGCGCGCGCCCGCGCGCGGUCGGCCCAAAAGCGAGUCCCCCGCGACCGACGACGCACGGCCCAAAAGCGAGUCCCUCGUGACGAGUGGUGGUUGACAAACCGUUGCGUCGCCCCGCGCGCGUCCGGUCCGUCGCGGGAGGCCUGUCGUGACCCUAUCGCACCGCCGCCAAGGCGCUCCGAUCGUGACCCCAGGUCAGGCGGGAUUACCCGCUGA
rnacentral:misc_RNA from 1 species